rnacentral:rRNA from 1 species
AUUGAACGCUGGCGGCAGGCCUAACACAUGCAAGUCGAGCGGAGCGGCGGACGGGUGAGUAAUGCCUAGGAAUCUGCCUGGUAGUGGGGGAUAACGUCCGGAAACGGGCGCUAAUACCGCAUACUAUCAGAUGAGCCUAGGUCGGAUUAGCUAGUUGGUGUGGUAAAGGCCUACCAAGGCGGCGAUCCGUAACUGGUCUGAGAGGAUGAACAGUCACACAGGAAAUGAGAAACGGGCCAGCCUCCUAAGGGAGGCAGCAGGGAAGGAUGUUGGACAAUGGGCGAAAGCCUCACACAGCCAUGCCGCGUGUGUGAAGAGGGUCUUCGGGUUGUAAAGCACUUUAAGUUGGGAGGCGUUACCAACAGAAUAAGCACCGGCUAACUUCGUGCCAGCCGCCGCGGUAAUUC